CUUGGCGGCCAUAGCGAAUUGGAACCACCCCUUCCCAUCUCGAACAGGGCCGUGAAACGAUUCUGCGCCAAUGAUAGUAUACUUCUCGUAUGCGAAAGUAGGUCACCGCCAAGCUUCU
rnacentral:rRNA from 1 species